rnacentral:rRNA from 1 species
UACGUAGGGGGCUAGCGUAGUCCGGAAUCAUUGGGCGUAAAGCGCGCGUAGGCGGCCCGGUAAGUCCGCUCUGAAAGUCCAGGGCUCAACCCUGGAAAGCGGGUGGAUACUGCCGGGCUAGAAUCCGGAAGAGGCGAGUGGAAUUCCUGGUGUAGCGGUGGAAUGCGCAGAUAUCAGGAGGAACACCUAUUGCGAAGGCAGCUCGCUGGGACGUUACUGACGCUGAGGCGCGAAAGCUAGGGGAGCAAACGGG